rnacentral:ncRNA from 1 species
AAGAAGUUUUAUUCUUGCUUAAUUAUUCAUUAUUUCUUUAUAUUAUAUGUAAGUUUUGUUUAACUAAAUGUUUCUUUUGCAGUAAUUUAAUUUAAUUAUCAAGCAAUUUUGGAAUUAGUAAUUGUUUAAGUAUUGGCAUAAUUCGUGCCAGCAGCUGCGGUUAUACGAUUGAUGCAAAUGAAUAUUUUUGGUUUAUUAUAGUUAAUGAUAUUAAUUGAGUUUUAAUUUAUUUUUUUUAGGUAAAAUUUUAAUUUUAUUUAUUGCUCUUUUUAUGAUUCUAUGAAAUUUAAAUUUUAAACUAGGAUUAGAUACCCUAUUAUUUUAAAUGUGAAUAAAGUUUACCUGGGUACUACUAGUUAUGGUCUUUAAACCCAAAGAAUUUGGCGGUAUCUUAUUCCUUUCAGAGGAACCUAUCUCAUAAUUGAUAAUGCACGAUAUAUUCUACUUAAUUUAUUGGUUUGUAUAUCUCCGUUAUCAGAUAAUCUUUUUAGAGUUUAAAUUUUCAUAUUUUAUGAAUUUAAUUUAUUUCAGGUCAAGGUGCAGCUUAUAAUUAAGAGGUUGAUGGGUUACAAUAAAAUAUUUUUUAUUACGGAUUUUAAUUUUGACAUAAUUUAUUAUUAAGGUGGAUUUGAUAGUAAUUUAAUUAAAUUAAAUUAAAUGAUAUUGGCUCUAAGGUGUGUACACAUCGCCCGUCACUCUCAUUAUUUUUAUUUAUAUAAUUUAUUAAUUUGUAAUUAAAUGAGAUAAGUCGUAACAUAGUAGGUGUACUGGAAAGUGUAUCUAGAAAUAUUUAUUC